AGAAGGCUGAGAGGAUCGAACAGUGGGAUGUCUCUUCUUCCUCCUUUGCCUAACUUCUGUAAAUCUUUCAUCAGCAGAAGAUGAAUCUUUGCCCUCAUUAUUAUCAUCAUCAUCUUCAUUAUCUUCAUAUCCCGACACUUCAUCUCCUCGGCCAUUUUGUCUCCUUAAAUGAACAUUCCUAUGAUUGCGACGUGCUCUAACUAAUAAUAUUUUGU
rnacentral:misc_RNA from 1 species